UACAGAGGCCCAUAGCGUUAUCCGGAUUUAUUGGGUUUAAAGGGAGCGCAGGCUAAUGAUUAAGCGUGACGUGAAAUGUAGCCGCUCAACGGCUGAACUGCGUCGCGAACUGGUUAUCUUGAGUGAGUUCGAUGUUGGCGGAAUUCGUGGUGUAGCGGUGAAAUGCUUAGAUAUCACGAAGAACUCCGAUUGCGAAGGCAGCCAACAAGGCCUUUACUGACGCUAAAGCUCGAAGGUGCGGGUAUCGAAC
rnacentral:rRNA from 1 species